rnacentral:rRNA from 1 species
GACGAACGCUGGCGGCGUGCUUAACACAUGCAAGUCGAACGGAAAGGCCCUGCUGUUGUGGGGUGCUCGAGUGGCGAACGGGUGAGUAACAAGUGAGUAACCUGCCCUUGACUUUGGGAUAACUUCAGGAAACUGGGGCUAAUACCGGAUAGGAGCUCCUGCUGCAUGGUGGGGGUUGGAAAGGUUCGGCGGUUGGGGAUGGACUCGCGGCUUAUGAGCUUGUUGGGGGGGUAGUGGCUUACCAAGGCUUUGACGGGUCGCCGGCCUGAGAGGGUGACCGGCCACAUUGGGACUGAGAUACGGCCCAGACUCCUACGGGAGGCAGCAGUGGGGAAUAUGGCACAAUGGGCGGGAGCCUGAUGCAGCAACGCCGCGUGCGGGAUGACGGCCUUCGGGUUGUAAACCGCUUUCGCCUGUGACGAAGCGUGAGUGACGGUAAUGGGUAAAGAAGCACCGGCUAACUACGUG